GAGUGGUCAAAGAUUUCUCAUAUCGCAAACCUACACAUAAGUAAGUUUAGCCAUCAUCUGUUUUCCUUUCUCCUCUAACUAAUUCAAACAAAAACGUGAAAUUUCUUUUACUCUAAUCAUCCAUUCCUUCUCUGUUUUCUUUUCCAGGUUAUUUAUGAGUAGAUGGGGUUUGCAAUCUAAACAGGGUCGCUUGCUUUCGAUUUACCAAAGGUUAAAAGGAAAGUUCAGGUGAGAUAUACUAUCUGUUUUCAUUUUUCUGUAACUUUAUCGUAAUUACUAUCUCCUGGUAAUUAGUUUGUCCAUUUGUUUUCUUUUCCAGAUUGAUUACUUUCUUUCUUGUUAAUGCUACUCGCCCAAAAUUGAGUUAAAUAGAGUUAAAUAGUCAGCGCUUGGAAAUUUGUAUCCAAUGUCACAAAACCACUCACUCAAGGUCAAGUUUGGAAAAUUGUAUCUAACAUGAGGGUUAAAACCGAGGAAGUAGCUCUUAGUGUGGCUAUAUCUGGUAAAAUUUCAAGUUGAAGCAGUAAUAGCAAAUACAUUCGUGAUAACUUGAACAAUUCAAGCUUUGAGCUGAAGACUGACAGAAGGACCAACUAAACUUGCUUUGCAGUUGGAGCCAUUAGAAGAUGGAACAUGACUUGUUGAUAGUGCACAAUUGGCAUUUUCUGUUGCAGUUCUUUACAGGCCUUGAAGGGAAUUUUCAUUAUCAAUUUCUUUCUUCACUUGUACUGGCCUAUGCUUUGAACUUAGUUUUGGCACCUUUUCAGGAUAGUCUUGAUUCUCAAUUACUUAUCUGUAUGUUAACAAACUCCUACUUCUUACAUCCGAACCUGGAAAUUUAUACAUUUAAACCUUCACCUCUUGCAAAUGUUAGCAUAUAUUAUACUGAGCAGAUUGAAAUGAAUUAUCUCAUCUCCUCUGUUUG
rnacentral:misc_RNA from 1 species